UCUAGUGAUGAUGGCAAAGAGGUUACACCCGUUCCCAUACCGAACACGGAAGUUAAGCUCUUUAGCGCCGAUGGUAGUUGGGGGCUUCCCCCUGUGAGAGUAGGACGUCGCUAGGC
rnacentral:rRNA from 2 species